UUUCUUACGAGACGGCCAGCUUGGGAUUAUAUUUGUGUGUUUAUUUAUAAUGGCUUGGACUCAAGUCUGAAAUGUUUUCCGGGGGCGGAGAGGUGGGAGAGUCUCUUUAAGGCUUUGAAGAGUCCAGUGAGGAUGUGAGUGGGGCGGAGCUUCGGGUGGGGCCGCCUCUCUUCCUGAAAUGGUGCCGAACUCAAAUGAACAGAACUUCAGCACCCGACGUUCAGCACCUCGGUAACUGUGGCAACUGUCUACACCUGAGGAAAUCAAACAGGGGACUUUGGAGCUUAGCUGAGGCCCAGAGCGGAGCCUGUGCCUUCCACUGCCAGCAUUCUGAAUUUCCCAACUGGUACUUCAUCUCAGGGCCUGGGAUGGAGCAGCCCAGGUGCUCAACUCUGCUAGGAAAUCCAGUCUUAAGGCUCAAAGAGGCGGGACCACGCCCUUCCUGCCUGUGGGAUCCCAGCACUCAGUAGUUGUGCUGGACCUUCGAAGGGACUCAGUCUGUCAGAGGCAAAGAAGCCCUUGUCAUCCUGAUAUCUAGAACCUUCCAAGGACGGGUGGGGGUUUGGGAAGAAUGACUUGCAGACUUCCAGCUCAAGGAAGAUGGUGUUGGGCAACACAACUCAGCUCCACGUAGUCACCAAGUUUACGGUUAGUGGCCAAGGGAUGAUGAUAAAACCACAUCAAGUCAUAGCACGUAGUGGAGGGUGCGAGUGGGGGCUGUCAGGGGAGGAGUAGGGACCUCCCAGAUGAAGCGACAUUAAAAUCUUAGCUUCACUGUUACUUUGGAUCCUAUGCUCUAAGCUACUGAUAGGGCAAUGCCACUACUGUCCAGGCCACUUGCUGGCCUCACUCAGUCAGGGGUCAGCAAUAGCCCCAUGCUUCAAAAACAGCUCUCCUUCCCUGUCCACACGUCCUGGGAUGAUUAAAGAGUUGACUG